rnacentral:rRNA from 1 species
AUGCAUUCGACAUCAACAAGACAACAACCUACGCGCAAAGAAAAAGAGGAAGACAAAGAAGAUUACAGCACUGGACCGUUGAAGGUUUCUUGCCACGGUCGACGACUUAGACCGUCGUUGGUGAAGAGCAAGCACGUGCAUGGUGAUCACGACCGGCCGGCGACGACGAACGUGCCCGGACUCAACAAGUGGUACCCGUGGCGCUGUUGUUGUUGGUGGUGGCCCCUGCCGGCGAAGCGAGCGCAGCUGGGCGACGACGCGACGCCGCCGCCCUGCUCCAUCUCCCACAUGACCUCCAUGAAAUCAUCGACGGCACAUGGCAGCUCGAGCGGGCCGACGCAGCCGGCGAAGCCGUACUCCGUCUCGGCCUCGUCCAGCAGCGCCCGGAACAGGGGGUGGUUUGCGCACCUGGCGCGCACCGCGAACCGCUCCUUCUCUGGCCCCACGAGCACGGCGAAGUACCCCGCCGGAACGGCCCACGCCGCCCUGCCAUCGGCCGCGCGUGGCGAGGCCGGGGCGCUGGCGCUGCUGCCAGCGCCGCCACCGCCGUAG